rnacentral:rRNA from 1 species
UACGAAGGGGGCUAGCGUUGCUCGGAAUCACUGGGCGUAAAGCGCACGUAGGCGGAUCGUUAAGUCGGGGGUGAAAUCCUGGAGCUCAACUCCAGAACUGCCUUUGAUACUGGCGAUCUUGAGUUCGGGAGAGGUGAGUGGAACUGCGAGUGUAGAGGUGAAAUUCGUAGAUAUUCGCAAGAACACCAGUGGCGAAGGCGGCUCACUGGCCCGAUACUGACGCUGAGGUGCGAAAGCGUGGGGAGCAAACAGG